AAGGACUUAGAUUAAUCAAUUACCUUCAAAGUUAUAAAUAAAAUAAUAUUAAUAUUUUAGGCCUUA
rnacentral:tRNA from 1 species